rnacentral:rRNA from 1 species
AUACGUAGGGGGCGAGCGUUGUCCGGAAUGAUUGGGCGUAAAGGGCGCGUAGGCGGCCCGGUAAGUCUGGAGUGAAAGUCCUGUUUUUAAGAUGGGAAUUGCUUUGGAUACUGUCGGGCUUGAGUGCAGGAGAGGUAAGUGGAAUUCCCAGUGUAGCGGUGAAAUGCGUAGAGAUUGGGAGGAACACCAGUGGCGAAGGCGACUUACUGGACUGUAACUGACGCUGAGGCGCGAAGGUGUGGGGAGCAAACAGGAUUAGAUACCCUGGUAGUCCACACUGUAAACGAUGAAUGCUAGGUGUAAGAGGUAUCGACCCCUUUUGUGCCGGAGUUAACACAAUAAGCAUUCCGCCUGGGGAGUACGGCCGCAAGGUUGAAACUCAAAUGAAUUGACGGGG